AUAUGCUUGUCCCAAAGCUUAAGCCAUGCAUGUGUUAGAACAAGCGAUUUCGUGAAUCUGCGAACGGCUCCGUAUAUCUGUUGUCACCCACCACCAUCCGCCCGGGAGACGUCUAUUCCUACCGGCAACGGAUAACCACGGUAAUUCUGUGGCUAAUACGUGUAUGCACCGGGGGCUGCCGCGCAAGCGGCUGGCCCUCGGCCUUGCCGCCCUAUCAAGACGUGGGCUUCGGCCCUUUGGCUUGAUGCAGGCAAGUUGCCCUACCGGCCAUUUGCUUGGCUGGAGUGGGUGACGGGCUUCAGACCUAUCAACUAUACGGCUGGGUAUAGUCCUGCCGUGGUGACGACGGGUACAGAGGAUCAGGGUUCGAUCCUGGAGAGGUAGCCUGAGAAAUCGCUACUACUUCUAAGGAAGGCAGCAGGCGCGCAACGUUCCCAAUGGGGAUACCCUGAGGACGUGACGGGACAUAUCAAUGCCUCGCCCUUAAAGCGGGGCAAUUGAAAUGGGGGAUAGCCAAACCCUCUACCGAGUAACAAUUGGAGG
rnacentral:rRNA from 1 species